GGCCAUGGCCACUCUGACUCCUUCCUACCCUCAUGAACUAGUUCAUAAAACAUGGCUCUAGAUAUCUUUGGAGAACAGAGAAAAGCACAAUAUAUAAAUACCAAGGACAAAACGUCUUGCUGAAGCUGUGUAUCACCACUGACCCGGAGACCAUGCAUUCUUUGCUUUCUGUGCCCCUUUUUGUUUAGUUUUAACAACUUCGUCAAUACUACCAGGACAUUUGACCUCUGUUAUCACAGUUUUUGUUAAAUGUCUGAAAUCACAUCUGCUAAUAAAACAUCUUUUUAUAUCAACACAACUCUUUGAAGAGUAUAAACUUGACGUUGAUGUAGCAUGUAGAAAUUGAUAGCUUUUGGAUUUAGCUAUAUUUUCACCCUUAUCCUUCAGAGGAAGAGAUGCAGUG
rnacentral:lncRNA from 1 species